rnacentral:misc_RNA from 1 species
GAUGAAGAACGUAGCGAAAUGCGAUAAGUAGUGUGAAUUGCAGAAUUCAGUGAAUCAUCGAAUCUUUGAACGCACAUUGCGCCCUUUGGUAUUCCUUAGGGCAUGCCUGUUCGAGCGUCAUUUGAAACCUCAAGCUCAGCUUGGUGUUGGGUGUCUGUCCCCGCCUCCGCGGGGACUCGCCUCAACAUCAUUGGCGGCCGGUACGUUGGCUUCGAGCGCAGCAGAAACGCGAACUCGAGGCCCGGCGGAUCGGCGACCAGAAGUCUCUUCUUCACAGUUUGACCUCGGAUCAGGUAGGGAUACCCGCUGAACUUAAGCAUAUCAAUAAGCGGAGGA